GACGAACGCUGGCGGCGUGCUUAACACAUGCAAGUCGAACGGAAAGGCCCUGCUUUUGCGGGGUGCUCGAGUGGCGAACGGGUGAGUAACACGUGAGUAACCUGCCCUUGACUUUGGGAUAACUUCAGGAAACUGGGGCUAAUACCGGAUAGGAGCUCCUGCUGCAUGGUGGGGGUUGGAAAGUUUCGGCGGUUGGGGCUGGACUCGCGGCUUAUCGGCUGGUUGGGGGGGUAGGGGCUUACCAAGGCUUUGACGGGUAGCCGGCCUGGGAGGGUGGCCGGCCACAUGGGGCCUGCGGUACGGCCCAGACUCCUACGGGAGGCAGCAGUGGGGAGUAUUGCGCAGUGGGCGGAAGCCUGAUGCAGCAGCGCCGCGUGCGGGAUGACGGCCUUCGGGUUGUAAACCGCUUUCGCCUGUGACGAAGCGUGAGUGACGGUAAUGGGUAAAGAAGCACCGGCUAACUACGUG
rnacentral:rRNA from 1 species